GAUGAACGCUGGCGGCGUGCCUAAUACAUGCAAGUCGAGCGAACGGACGAGGAGCUUGCUUCUCUGAUGUUAGCGGCGGACGGGUGAGUAACACGUGGAUAACCUACCUAUAGACUGGGAUAACUUCGGGAAACCGGAGCUAAUACCGGAUGAUGUUUUGAACCGCAUGGUUCAAAAGUGAAAGACGGUCUUGCUGUCACUUAUAGAUGGAUCCGCGCUGCAUUAGCUAGUUGGUAAGGUAACGGCUUACCAAGGCAACGAUGCAUAGCCGACCUGAGAGGGUGAUCGGCCACACUGGAACUGAGACACGGUCCAGACUCCUACGGGAGGCAGCAGUAGGGAAUCUUCCGCAAUGGGCGAAAGCCUGACGGAGCAACGCCGCGUGAGUGAUGAAGGUCUUCGGAUCGUAAAACUCUGUUAUUAGGGAAGAACAUAUGUGUAAGUAACUGUGCACAUCUUGACGGUACCUAAUCAGAAAGCCACGGCUAACUACGUG
rnacentral:rRNA from 1 species